rnacentral:rRNA from 1 species
GAUGAACGCUGGCGGCGUGCCUAAUACAUGCAAGUCGAGCGAACAGACGAGGAGCUUGCUCCUCUGACGUUAGCGGCGGACAGGUGAGUAACACGUGGAUAACCUACCUAUAAGACUGGGAUAACUUCGGGAAACCGGAGCUAAUACCGGAUAAUAUAUUGAACCGCAUGGUUCAAUAGUGAAAGGCGGUUUUGCUGUCACUUAUAGAUGGAUCCGCGCCGCAUUAGCUAGUUGGUAAGGUAACGGCUUACCAAGGCAACGAUGCGUAGCCGACCUGAGAGGGUGAUCGGCCACACUGGAACUGAGACACGGUCCAGACUCCUACGGGAGGCAGCAGUAGGGAAUCUGCCGCAAUGGGCGAAAGCCUGACGGAGCAACGCCGCGUGAGUGAUGAAGGUCUUCGGAUCGUAAAACUCUGUUAUUAGGGAAGAACAAAUGUGUAAGUAACUAUGCACGUCUUGACGGUACCUAAUCAGAAAGCCACGGCUAACUACGUG